UGCUAUCAACAGUAGUUUCCCAGUUUUCAUGCUAGUUUUCCCAGACCUGAGGACUUGGCCUUUGAAGAGCCGUGUGCUGCUCAUAUGCGCUCCACCCUCGGAAUAUCUAUUUUGAGAACAAGAAUUCAUAAGCCUAUUCAAUCUUUUCAUAAACACUGC